rnacentral:rRNA from 1 species
UACGGAGGAUGCGAGCGUUAUCCGGAUUUAUUGGGUUUAAAGGGUGCGCAGGCGGAAGAUCAAGUCAGCGGUAAAAUUGAGGGGCUCAACCUCUUCGAGCCGUUGAAACUGGUUUUCUUGUGUGAGCGAGAAGUAUGCGGAAUGCGUGGUGUAGCGGUGAAAUGCAUAGAUAUCACGCAGAACUCCGAUUGCGAAGGCAGCAUACCGGCGCUCAACUGACGCUCAUGCACGAAAGUGUGGGUAUCGAACAGG